rnacentral:rRNA from 1 species
CAGAUGUGAAAGACCCGGGGCGUCAACCUCGGAAUUGCAUUUGAAACUAGGCAGACUAGAGUACUGUAGAGGGGGGUAGGAAUUUCAGGUGUAGCGGUGAAAUAGCGUAGAGAUCUGAAGGAAUACCGGUGGCGAAGGCGGCCCCCUCGGACAGAUACUGACACUCAGAUGCGAAAGCGUGGGGAGCAAACAGGAUUAGAUACCCUGGAG